rfam:Triticum aestivum genome assembly, contig: Triticum_aestivum_CS42_TGACv1_scaffold_193919_3AL
CACGUACUCCCUCCGUUCUGAAUUGCUUGUCGUAGGUAUGGAUGUAUGUAGAUGUAUUUUAGUUCUAGAUAUAUUCAUUUCUGCGACGAGUAAUUUGAAACGGAGGGAGUAGUAC